GGGCUUUGUUUCUUUCUCCUUUGCAGAAAGGCCACUGGGCUGAUAGUGUCCUCUUAGCAAGUAAGCUUGCCUGCAGCUGCUAAGACAGCAGUGCCCAUAAAAGUAAAAAUAAGCAUCACCAUGUCAUCCAGAAUGGCUUUCUUCAAUUCCUGAAUUGAACCAUGUCCAGUAGUUGAGUUCCUCUGCGUCGACCAGCUUGAUGUGGUUGCAGGGCAGAGGUGCCCCUACAUGCCCUAGGACACCAGAACAAGAGUGAAAGGCUUGGGUCUCUGGCAUCUUCCUCUGUACCCGGCUGCCCAGCACACGUCCCACCACCCCCAAGGAAGGCCCGGGAUGAUGAUACCUGGCACCCCAGAGCUGCUCGUAGGAAUCCCAGAACCGUUGGUGACGCGGGGGCUGCUCCAGUGACAAUCAUCCUCACAUGCCCACCAAGACUGGCCUGUGGGAAGAAAGAAGCUGCCAAUGAUGGUGACACACGAGAUGGUCUUCAUUUAUGGUCUGCUUUCAACAGCUGGACCCUGGGUGCUAGAAGAGAGCCACGUGCUGAGGAAGUCGCUUCUCUUUUGU
ensembl:antisense Gm12224 predicted gene 12224